GAGUUUGAUCAUGGCUCAGAUUGAACGCUGGCGGCAGGCCUAACACAUGCAAGUCGAGCGGUAGAGAGAAGCUUGCUUCUCCUGAGAGCGGCGGACGGGUGAGUAAUGCCUAGGAAUCUGCCUGGUAGUGGGGGAUAACGCUCGGAAACGGACGCUAAUACCGCAUACGUCCUACGGGAGAAAGCAGGGGGACCUUCGGGCCUUGCGCUAUCAGAUGAGCCUAGGUCGGAUUAGCUAGUUGGUGAGGUAAUGGCUCACCAAGGCGACGAUCCGUAACUGGUCUGAGAGGAUGAUCAGUCACACUGGAACUGAGACACGGUCCAGACUCCUACGGGAGGCAGCAGUGGGGGAAUAUUGGACAAUGGGCGAAAGCCUGAUCCAGCCAUGCCGCGUGUGUGAAGAAGGUCUUCGGAUUGUUAAAGCACUCUAAGUUGGAGGAAGGGCAGUAAAUUAAUACUUUGCUGUUUUGACGUUACCGACAGAAUAAAGCACCGGCUAACUCUGUGCCAG
rnacentral:rRNA from 1 species